rnacentral:sRNA from 1 species
GACAACUCCUUGCCUCACCCACAAACAAUCCCAAAUUCUCGACCUAGACGCGCCAAAAUCACGUGAAAACCGGGAAAAGGAUGGCGGGAAGUCGAAAAAAUCGAAAAAAUCGAUUAAAUGGAGCACGGGCUCCGUUCUGAUGCUCACAAUACCCGUUUUCGCUUUUUCGUUGGGAAUUUGGCAGACUUUUCGCCUGAAAUGGAAGUUAGACCUGAUUGAGCAUUUGAAAGGGCGACUGAAUCAAACUGCACAGGAAUUACCUGAAGAUUUGAGUUG